rnacentral:rRNA from 1 species
AGUGAACGCUGGCGGUAGGCCUAACACAUGCAAGUCGAACGGCAGCACAGUAAGCGCUUGCUCUUACGGGUGGCGAGUGGCGGACGGGUGAGGAAUACAUCGGAAUCUACUUUUUCGUGGGGGAUAACGUAGGGAAACUUACGCUAAUACCGCAUACGAUCUACGGGUGAAAGCAGGGGAUCUUCGGACCUUUCGCGAUUGAAUGAGCCGAUGUCGGAUUAGCUAGUUGGCGGGGUAAAGGCCCACCAAGGCGACGAUCCGUAGCUGGUCUGAGAGGAUGAUCAGCCACACUGGAACUGAGACACGGUCCAGACUCCUACGGGAGGCAGCAGUGGGGAAUAUUGGACAAUGGGCGCAAGCCUGAUCCAGCCAUACCGCGUGGGUGAAGAAGGCCUUCGGGUUGUAAAGCCCUUUUGUUGGGAAAGAAAAGCAGCAGGUUAAUACCCCGCUGUUCUGACGGUACCCAAAGAAUAAGCACCGGCUAACUUCGUG